UACGUAGGGGGCAAGCGUUGUCCGGAAUUAUUGGGCGUAAAGAGCGCGUAGGCGGUCCGAUGAAGUCGGCUGUGAAAGUCAGGGGCUCAACCCUUGAAAGCCGGCCGAUACUGUCGGACUAGAGUCCGGAAGAGGCAAGUGGAAUUCCCGGUGUAGCGGUGAAAAUGCGCAGGAUAUCGGGGAGGAACACCGGUGGCGAAGGCGGGUCACUGGGCAACA
rnacentral:rRNA from 1 species